rnacentral:RNase_P_RNA from 1 species
AAGGUAUGAUAGAUGAUAGCUUGAGUUUCUCAAGAGGAAAGUCUGUGCUACUGUGAAGUAUGGUUCCAUCUAACCGAUGGCUAGGGCAACCUAAGGGAUAAGUGCAACAGAAAACAAACCACCAUUUGGGAAACCAAAAGGCAAGGGUGAAAAGGUGAGGCAAGAGCUCACCAGUAUUUGAAGCAAUUCAUAUAGCUAUGUAAACCCAACCUGUAGCAAGACAAGUAUGGUAAACUUCACUUUGGGAUAUAGUUUUUUAUAUUCUAUUAGCUUGUCGCAUAAGCUUUAAAGCGAUUUAAAGAUUAGAUAAAUUAUCAUCAAAUACAAAACACAGCUUACUAUCAUACCUGCCUU